GACGCUCAGCACGUGCUUGCCAAUUUUUGGAAGAGCAAGGCUAUGAUGUGACCAACGUCCAAGGUGGCAUGGAUGCAUUUGAAUCCUAAGAAACGGGAGUGGGAAAGAACUCCGU
rnacentral:sRNA from 1 species